rnacentral:rRNA from 1 species
ACUCCUACGGGAGGCAGCAGUGGGGAAUAUUGCACAAUGGGCGCAAGCCUGAUGCAGCCAUGCCGCGUGUGUGAAGAAGGCCUUCGGGUUGUUAAAGCACUUUCAGUCGUGAGGAAGGUAGUGUAGUUAAUAGUCUGCAUUAUUUGACGUUAGCGACAGAAGAAGCACCGGCUAACUCCGUGCCAGCAGCCGCGGUAAUACGGAGGGUGCGAGCGUUAAUCGGAAUUACUGGACGUAAAGCGCAUGCAGGUGGUUUGUUAAGUCAGAUGUGAAAGCCCGGGGCUCAACCUCGGAAUAGCAUUUGAAACUGGCAGACUAGAGUACUGUAGAGGGGGGUAGAAUUUCAGGUGUAGCGGUGAAAUGCGUAGAGAUCUGAAGGAAUACCGGUGGCGAAGGCGGCCCCCUGGACAGAUACUGACACUCGAGAUGCGAAAGCGUGGGGAGCAAACAGGAUUAGAUACCCUGGUAGGAUAGGG